rnacentral:rRNA from 1 species
GGUGAACGCUAGCGGGAGGCCUAACACAUGCAAGCCGAGCGGUAUUGUUUCUUCGGAAAUGCGAGAGCGGCGUACGGGUGCGUAACACGUGUGCAACCUGCCUUUAUCUGGGGGAUAGCCUUUCGAAAGGAAGAUUAAUACUCCAUAAUAUAUUGAACGGCAUCGUUUAAUAUUGAAAGCUCCGGCGGAUAGAGAUGGGCACGCGCAAGAUUAGCUAGUUGGUGAGGUAACGGCUCACCAAGGCGAUGAUCUUUAGGGGGCCUGAGAGGGUGAUCCCCCACACUGGUACUGAGACACGGACCAGACUCCUACGGGAGGCAGCAGUGAGGAAUAUUGGUCAAUGGGUGCAAGCCUGAACCAGCCAUCCCGCGUGAAGGACGACUGCCCUAUGGGUUGUAAACUUCUUUUGGAUAGGGAUAAACCUACCCUCGUGAGGGUAGCUGAAGGUACUAUACGAAUAAGCACCGGCUAACUCCGUG